rnacentral:rRNA from 1 species
AGCAGCCGCGGUAAUUCCAGCUCCAAUAGCGUAUAUUAAAGUUGUUGCAGUUAAAAAGCUCGUAGUUGAAUUUCGGGAUCAGUACGCCGGUCGUGCCUCUGGUAUGUACUGGUGUUACUGGUUCCUACCUUCUGACGAACUGUCAUGUCAUUAAUUUGGUGUGGCGGGGAAUCAGGACUGUUACUUUGAAAAAUUAGAGUGUUUAAAGCAGGCUCGCGCUUGAAUACAUUAGCAUGGAAUAAUGAAAUAGGACGUUCGAUCCUAUUUUGUUGGUUUCUAGGAUUGACGUAAUGAUUAAUAGGGAUAGUUGGGGGCAUUAGUAUUCAAUUGUCAGAGGUGAAAAUUCUUGGAUUUAUUGAAGACUAACUACUGCGAAAGCAUUUGCCAAGGAUGUUUUCAUUAAUCAAGAACGAAAGUUAGGGGAUCGAAGACGAUCAGAUACCGUCGUAGUCUUAACCAUAAACUAUGCCGACUAGGGAUCGGAUGAUGUAAUUUUUAAUGA